UACGUAGGUGGCAAGCGUUGUCCGGAAUUAUUGGGCGUAAAGCGCGCGCAGGUGGUUCCUUAAGUCUGAUGUGAAAGCCCACGGCUCAACCGUGGAGGGUCAUUGGAAACUGGGGAACUUGAGUGCAGAAGAGGAAAGUGGAAUUCCAAGUGUAGCGGUGAAAUGCGUAGAGAUUUGGAGGAACACCAGUGGCGAAGGCGACUUUCUGGCCUGUAACUGACACUGAGGCGCGAAAGCGUGGGGAGCAAACAGGG
rnacentral:rRNA from 1 species